AUGCAUACGAAUGGAUCGUUGUGAUAGAAAAUGUUGAUUUCAGAGAUGAAAGUUUGCGUAAUAGUAACAAUAAGUAAGUUAAAUUAUGCUUCAAAUGCCAAAAUGGCGUUACUGUUUCCAGUAAUCUCUUUUGUGUUCUUUGAUCAACUGUUACAAAGCCUGUCAGAACAAUUACCACAAAUACAACCGAUAACAUUUCCUAAACAAGUUAUUCUUGGUCAGAAAAUUAGUACUGUGUGUUCUGCUAUCUCUGGAAAUUCGCCUUUAACGUUUUCCUGGUUAAAAGACGGACGAGAAAUUAACGAUAAUGAUGAGAUAUCGAUUCAAUCGUUCAAAGAUUAUUCGGUAUUAUUUAUUGAAAAAGUAAAAGUUCAGUCUGCAGGAAAUUACACUUGUGUGCUUUCGACUUCGGCUGGUGUAGACAAAUAUACAGCGACUUUAGAAGUUCAAGCACCUUCAGCAUGGAUAAAGCAACCGAAGGAUGCCGAUGUAAUUGUAGGUAGUAUUCUGGUUUUAGAAUGCGAAGCUACAGGCUUACCCUUGCCAACCAUUACUUGGACCAAAGGGCAUUUCCUGAUCAAAAAGAACCAAAGCUUGGGAAAAAUGAAUUAGUUUUAGAAAGCAUCAGAGAUGUAGACGAAGGAGAAUAUGUUUGCGAAGCAAAAAAUGGAAUAGGUGAUGCUUUGAUCCAAAAAGUAACCGUAAACGUUCGGGGUGACUUUGUGUGAAGUGAGUAGGUUGGCUUUGUGUGAUGUAUGUAAUCUUUACUGCGUGGAUAGCUGUGCCAUUGGUUUAUAAAUUGUCGGCUUUAAAGUAUACUUAUUAAAUCAACAGCGAAAAAUGAAGAAGUUC
rnacentral:misc_RNA from 1 species